rnacentral:rRNA from 1 species
UGGGGAAUCUUGCACAAUGGGGGCAACCCUGAUGCAGCGACGCCGCGUGAGCGAUGAAGCCCUUCGGGGCGUAAAGCUCUUUCGACCGGAACGAUAAUGACGGUACCGGGAGAAGAAGCUGCGGCUAACUACGUGCCAGCAGCCGCGGUAAUACGUAGGCAGCAAGCGUUGUUCGGAGUUACUGGGCGUAAAGAGUGCGUAGGCGGUUUUCUAAGUUCGGUGUGAAAUCUCCCGGCUUAACUGGGAGGGUGCGCCGAAGACUGGGGAGGUGGAGUGUGGGAAAGGCAGGCGGAAUUCCUGGUGUUGCGGUGAAAUGCGUAGAUAUCAGGAGGAACACCGGCGGUGUAGACGGCUUGCUAGACCAUAACUGACGCUGAGGCACGAAAGCGUGGGUAGCAAACA